UACGUAGGUGGCGAGCGUUUGUCCGGAUUUACUGGGCGUAAAGAGCGCGCAGGCGGUCGUGCAAGUCGCGUGUGAAAGCCCCCGGCUCAACUGGGGAGGGUCACGCGAUACUGCUCGACUCGAAGGCAGGAGAGGGAAGUGGAAUUCCCGGUGUAGUGGUGAAAUGCGUAGAUAUCGGGAGGAACACCAGUGGCGAAGGCGACUUCCUGGCCUGUUCUUGACGCUGAGGCGCGAAAGCUAGGGUAGCAAACGGG
rnacentral:rRNA from 1 species